UUGAAAGGAAAACGUCUGAGGAACGGUCCGCACUGUAUAAACAAGCAGCAGAUGAAGAUAUGACGUGUGUCUGCUUCAUUUGCUGUAGGAGAAACGCUAACAAUAAUCCAGCCCGCCCCCUAUAAAAACUGAUGAACGCAGAUCACCAGUAUCACCGUUAAGUCGCGGAUACCAGUAGCAAAGGAAGCUGAGAAUUCUCCAAUAAGGAGAUUGAAAGGGUUUAGGGUUCGUCGAAAUUGGAGGAGGAAAAGGAAAACUGUAACAGUCAUGGAGAGUGCCUUUGCGAGCGCCUCUGCAAUCACGGACCAGAGACAAAAGAUCGAACAGUACAGGCACAUUCUCGCUUCCGUCCUCUUAUCAGACGACGUCAUUCAGGCUAAGAAGUUUAUCGAUCAUGUUUUGUCGGAUGAUGUGCCAUUGGUGGUUUCGAGGCAGCUAUUACAGACUUUUGCACUGGCACUGGAGAGAUUGGAGCCAGAGACGCAAAAGGAGAUUGCCCAUUAUACUCUUGCCCAGAUUCAGCCUCGGGUUGUUUCUUUCGAAGAACAGGUUUUAAUAAUUAGAGAGAAACUCGCAGAUCUAUAUGAGUCAGAGCAAGAAUGGUCAAAAGCAGCUCAGAUGCUCAGUGGCAUUGAUCUAGACUCUGGAAUGAGGGUCAUUGAUGAUACAUUUAGGUUAUCUAAAUGUGUCCAAAUUGCUCGCUUAUAUCUUGAGGAUGAUGAUGCAGUUAAUGCAGAGGCUUUCAUCAAUAAAGCUUCGUUUUUGGUUAGCAACAGCCAGCACGAAGUAUUGAACUUACAAUACAAGAUUUGUUAUGCCAGGGUUUUGGACAUCAAGAGGAAGUUUUUGGAAGCUGCACUGCGUUAUUAUGAUAUAUCCCAAAUUGAGAAGAGACAGAUAGGAGAUGAAACCAUUGAUGAGGAAGCUCUGCAACAAGCUCUCUCUGCUGCUGUGACAUGUACAAUCUUGGCUGCUGCAGGUCCUCAACGUUCUCGUGUCCUCGCCACUUUGUAUAAGGAUGAACGAUGCUCAAAGCUUAGAGUUUAUCCUAUUUUGCAAAAGGUCUAUUUAGAGAGAAUUCUGAGAAAACCUGAAAUUGAUGCAUUUGCUGAAGAACUAAAGACACAUCAGCUAGCCCUUCUGCCAGACAAUUUUACUGUUCUGGAUCGUGCUAUGAUUGAGCACAAUCUUCUUAGUGCAAGUAAACUCUACUCAAAUAUAAGUUUUGAUGAGUUGGGCACCUUGCUGGGAAUUCCUCCAAAUAAGGCGGAAAAGAUAGCAUCAAGAAUGAUAUACGAGGAUAGAAUGAGGGGAUCAAUUGAUCAGGUUUUAAAUUCUAAAGACUCAUCUAGCAUGCUAGAUGUCAUUUCUUCAAUCUAGCAAGGAUUUUUAUUGGUCAGAUUAUAAUUUUGCCAACGGGACCAAGCUUAAUAUUUGCAAAACUUGAUGAUGUACUUGUGCAAUUUGUAAUAUGGAGCUGGGUAUUGGACAACUGGUUUCUGCUUUGCUUGCAUGAUUUUUGCCUUGAAGUUGUUUCCACUAUAACAAACGUCCCAACUCAAAAGGGUUAUAUGGCCUUGGAUCUCCUCGUCUCUGGUGAUGUGUUGGUCAUUGUCUGUUUGACUGACAAGCGAAGAAUAACGGUGUAGAAGCUGUGAUUCACUUUGAGGAUGAUACUGAAGAGCUGCAGCAAUGGGAUCAACAGAUUGUUGGCUUGUGUC